rnacentral:sRNA from 1 species
AAAAAGUAAUUUAAAGUGUUUAUAAAUCUGGAGUUAUUAGAUUCAUACUUUAAUAAAGUCAUUAAAAUUUUUGUGUUAUUCAAAAUAAACAACACUUUCCAUUAUUGUUAGUCAAUUAAAAUAUUACUAGCAUUUGGCCCCUGCUAUGCAGGGACAACAUUGUUUUAAAUUAUAUCUGCUAUAACUCUUAACUAAGAUUUUUAAAAUAAAGCAGACAACAUAAAUAUACAACAAAUUUAUUAUCAUUGACCGAAGAAUAUACAAAGAUUAAGAAAAAGAUAUAAAAAAGGUACAACUUUUCUACCCAAUGAAUCAAUUGGGAUAGACAGUAACUAACAAAUCAAGAGUUUAGAAAUAUAAGAGAGUAUAGGUACGAAAAUUAUGCUGGGUAUAUACAUGUCCGCUUAUUUCAUCAUUAGCUCCAACCAAUUGUAAUGUGUUCUUCUUCUCAUCAUCAGUAAUUCAGUUUACAAACAUUCGUUGACACCCAAAGCUUGGAAGUCUCAGAAAAAAUGUAAAAUGUGCACAAGUAAGUAAGUAACUACAUGACGUACACGCUGCCUUUGAAACGUUUGCAUG